rnacentral:rRNA from 1 species
CAAUAGCGUAUAUUAAAGUUGUUGCAGUUAAAAAGCUCGUAGUUGGAUUUCUGGUGGGAGCGAUCGGUCUGGCGCUUAGCGCGAGUACUUGCAUCGUCUCCGGCCAUCCUUGGGGAGAGUCUGUCUGGCAUUAGGUUGUCGGGCAGAGGAUCCUUACCGUUUACUGUGAAAAAAUUAGAGUGUUCAAAGCAGGCUUAUGCCGUUGAAUAUAUUAGCAUGGAAUAAUAAGAUAGGACUUUGGUACUAUUUUGUUGGUUUGCGCACCAAAGUAAUGAUUAAUAGGGACAGUUGGGGGUAUUCGUAUUCCGUUGUCAGAGGUGAAAUUCUUGGAUUUACGGAAGACGAACUACUGCGAAAGCAUUUACCAAGGAUGUUUUCAUUAA